ACGGGUGAGUAAUACAUCGGAACGUGCCCUGUAGUGGGGGAUAACUAGUCGAAAGAUUAGCUAAUACCGCAUACGACCUGAGGGUGAAAGUGGGGGACCGCAAGGCCUCAUGCUGUAGGAGCGGCCGAUGUCUGAUUAGCUAGUUGGUGAGGUAAAGGCUCACCAAGGCGACGAUCAGUAGCUGGUCUGAGAGGACGAUCAGCCACACUGGGACUGAGACACGGCCCAGACUCCUACGGGAGGCAGCAGUGGGGAAUUUUGGACAAUGGGGGCAACCCUGAUCCAGCAAUGCCGCGUGUGUGAAGAAGGCCUUCGGGUUGUAAAGCACUUUUGUCCGGAAAGAAAUCGCACUUACUAAUAUUAGGUGUGGAUGACGGUACCGGAAGAAUAAGGACCGGCUAACUACGUGCCAGCAGCCGCGGUAAUACGUAGGGUCCAAGCGUUAAUCGGAAUUACUGGGCGUAAAGCGUGCGCAGGCGGUUGUGCAAGACCGAUGUGAAAUCCCCGGGCUUAACCUGGGAAUUGCAUUGGUGACUGCACGGCUAGAGUGUGUCAGAGGGGGGUAGAAUUCCACGU
rnacentral:rRNA from 1 species